ACGAACGCUGGCGGCCUGCCUAACCCCUGCCAGUCGCACGAGACCUUCGGGUCUAGUGGCGCACGGGUGCGUAACGCGUGGGAACCUGCCCUUAGGUUCGGAAUAACUCCCCGAAAGGGGUGCUAAUACCGGAUAAUGUCUUCGGACCAAAGAUUUAUCGCCUUUGGAUGGGCCCGCGUUGGAUUAGCUAGUUGGUAGGGUAAAAGCCUACCAAGGCGACGAUCCAUAGCUGGUCUGAGAGGAUGAUCAGCCACACUGGGACUGAGACACGGCCCAGACUCCUACGGGAGGCAGCAGUGGGGAAUAUUGGACAAUGGGCGAAAGCCUGAUCCAGCAAUGCCGCGUGAGUGAUGAAGGCCUUAGGGUUGUAAAGCUCUUUUACCCGGGAUGAUAAUGACAGUACCGGGAGAAUAAGCGCCGGCUAACUCCGUG
rnacentral:rRNA from 1 species